AGGAGAAGACGUUCCAGAUCCUACCUGAGUGGAUACUGGUAGAGGCCAGGUGCUUGCGUGGCUACAUCAGAACCUCAGUCAGUGCUGCGAUCAUCUACAAGGUAGUUAGAUUACCCUUGAGGUAUGUCUAUGUUUCUCAUACUUUUAAAUUUAAGUUUGAAAUUAAAAUAUCAGAUAAUAAAAUUAGAUCUAAUAGACAUUAGAUCUGAAAUAACGUAGGAUAAAAAUUUAAAAUUUAUUUCGCCCCAGAUUUGAUGAAAUCUGGAAGAUCCUACACAGGAAAAAGGCAGUUUUUCCUUCACAUAUUGAUUGGCGUAUCAGACAUGCAGAGUAUAUUACCAUUUGGAAUGCACGAUGAGAUCACAUAGUUUAUGGUGAUGAUAUAUUGAGAGGUGAUCCAUAUACCGAGGACUGCAUGGCUUGAUUUCUUAGCAUUAUAGUAUCGAUCAUCGGACAGCCUUGGUAAGCAGUUGUAUGUAGAUGAUCGCAGCAACAUCCGAGGUUCUAAAAUAGCCACGCAGUCGUCUGGUCUCUAUCGAUAUCCACUCGAGCAGGAUCUGGAUCAUCUUCUCCUCAUGAAUCUUUGCUCCAAAAAUCAGAUCUGGAUCUGAUCUGGAAGAUCUUCAAAAGAUCUUCUGAAGCUGGAGCAGCAGCUUCUCGAGAAAUCUCUGUAGCCUUCUAAUCAGAGAGCCCCCACACCUUGGACAAGCACCAGAUGGAUGCCCAACCUCUUGGACAUGAAGAGGGGAGGAUGAGGAGCAGAGGGGGCAUGGAGAAGUAGAGGGGUUUCAUAU
rnacentral:lncRNA from 1 species